rnacentral:rRNA from 1 species
UACGUAGGUGGCGAGCGUUGUUCGGAUUUAUUGGGCGUAAAGGGUCCGCAGGGGUUUGGUCUAAGUCUGAUGUGAAAUACCCGGACGCUCAACUCCGGAACUGCAUUGGAAACUAGGCGGACUAGAGUAUCGGAGAGGUAAGCGGAAUUUCUGGUGUAGCGGUGGAAUGCGUAGAUAUCAGAAAGAACACCGAGAGCGAAGGCAGCUUACUAGACGAUUACUGACCCUCAGGGACGAAAGCGUGGGUAGCAAACAGGAUUAGAUACCCGCGUAGU